rnacentral:misc_RNA from 1 species
GUGGUAGAUAGUUGUAGAUAUCUAGAACUGCGAUAAAAUUUGUUUUGCUAUUUAUAAACUGUUGCACAGUCUUUCCGGGGAUUUAGACGAUCAAAUAACGUAAGAAGCGAUCAAAGCAAGAGAUAGACUUUUAAAUUUGUCGUUAUCAAUGUAUCAGAAUUCACAAUCUUAUCCAGGAUACCCUCCUCCACAAGGAUACCCUCCGCCACAAGGAUACCCUCCACCACAGGGGUACCCUCCACCACAAGGCUACCAUUCAUCACAGGGCUACCCUCCAGCAGAUGGCUCUUAUCCACCACCUGGGUACCAACCUGUACCGAUUCAGAAUUAUCCGCCAGCGCCUGGGCAACAGCUGCUGCAACAAGGUUAUCCUCAACCGACGUCGGGUUUUGUCCCACCACCGAAUUCUUAUCCACCGACUGGUGGAGUUGGAGCUCCUAUACAAACACAGCCUGAGCCCAAUGGUUGGAUGAAUGUGCCGCAUUUGAGGCCAAACGAUUGCCCGCCUGGCUUGGAAUACCUGACUACUCUUGAUCAGCUUCUCGUUCACCAGAAAGUUGAAUUGCUUGAAGCUUUCACAGGUUUCGAGACAAAAAAUAAGUUCACGGUGAAAAACAGUUUGGGCCAAAAGGUUUAUUAUGCAGUCGAAGAUUCUGGUUGUUGCAACAGAUUGUGUUGUGGAACCAACAGACCUUUUGAAAUGAAAAUCCUGGACAACUUUAAAAAUGAAGUGAUCCACCUAGUCCGCCCUUUAGCCUGCCAGUCAUGUUUAUUCCCUUGUUGCAUGCAGCACAUGGAAGUCUUCUCACCGAUCGGAUGCUUGGUCGGGAGUGUGCAGCAGAAUUGGAGCGUAUUUACACCAUCCUUUGACAUAAAAAAUGCUGCAGGUGAUACGGUUCUUAAAAUUGAGGGGCCAAUUUGCACGUUCAGCAUUUGUGGUGAUGUUGAAUUCAAGAUCCUAGCACUUGACGGUGCGACUACAGUUGGAAAAAUCACUAAACAGUGGAGUGGGUUAUUGAGAGAGGCUUUCACAGAUGCAGACUAUUUUGGCGUCACAUUUCCUGUAGACCUAGAUGUCAGAAUGAAAGCAGUGAUGCUUGGAGCAUGUUUCUUGAUUGAUUACAUGUUCUUUGAGAAGAUUAACAACAAGGAAAAUGGAUUCUGUGGAUUAUGAUAUCUCAUGUAUUGUAAAUUGAGAGGAGCAGAAUAUUGAGUACCCCAUCGACCCUUAGAUUAGUAGUAGGCAUAAAUGAUGGACUCUACGACCCUGCAAAGCAUCGAAGGAGAUCCGCGGAUGAUUGCAAUCUUAAAAGACAAGAAAAACAUAAUAAUUAAACAAGAAUUGAACGUUCUAGAACUUGUUACACAAAUAGAAACUUCGAACAAAUAUACAGUCCAAACUACACAAGGGCAAGUUCUUUUCAGAGCCAAUGAGGUAUCUACAUUCCUUUUUAGGAACUGUUGCAUAUCGAAUAGACCUUUUACUAUAAAAUUACUGACACACGACGCUGGGGAGUUAAUUCGAAUCACACGACCUUUUCGUUUUCAGUCAUGCUGUUGUCCAUGCUUUCUCCAG